UGCUAUUAAUUCCCUCCCAAAAUUUUGAACUCCCUCUCAAAAUUUGCCCUAACUAUCUCAAAAUUUCCACAAACCCAAAUUUUCCCAAAUUCCCUCUCAAAACGAAAAUGGUGAGACUUACAGCCGAUUUGAUAUGGAAAAGCCCUCAUUUCGUCAACGCUCUUUGCGAACGUGAACUCGAUCUUCGAGGAAAUAAGAUUCCUGAGAUAGAGAAUUUGGGCGCUACUGAGGGGCGGAUUUCUUUGCUUCAAGGUGAAGUAUCCACAAUCGGAUCUGAUUUGGAGGCACUCAAGGUUUGGGCUUCUGGAUUCUCUGUUGCUUUUUGAAUAGCUAUGCAGGUCACCUAAAUAUCACAAACGUACAUCUCCAAAAUGAGGUCGUGAAGCAGGUUUGUCAUAUAUUUUUGUACCUUUAAUCGUGAAGCAGGUUUGUCAUGUAUUUUUGUACCUUUAGGAAGUCAAGUCAUAUGUUUUCUAUUGAAUAUUAAUGUCAUCUCAUGUUUUGAUUUAGCAGCUGAAGGAGUCUUGUUCUCUAUAUGAAGGCUAUGUUCCAAUUAAUUACAAAAAGUAUUACCAAAAUUAAAGUAUAAGAAGCAUUACAAUGAGAGUAUAAAUGUUUUUUUUUACGAAUUCUUAAACGGGUUAAUGGGUUAAUUUGUAUUUGUAUGGGUCAACCCAAACCCGAACCCUUUUUUUAAAGGGGUCAUGUUUGACUAGUUGACUCAAACUAGUUUUUUUACGGUUCGUGUCAAGAUUGUCAUCCCUAGGUGUAGGCUAGGGAUGCAAACGAGCUAAGCUACUCAUGAGCUACUCGAGCUCCGCUUUUGAGCCAAUCUUAAACUUUGGGUUGGCGUUGGUUGGGGUGGUGCCCCUUUAGCAUGGGUAUUCAGCCUGCCGUGGGGGGGGGGGGGUUAGGGUGACUUGACUGACUUUGGUUGGCUGGUUCAAUAUGGCUGGCUUUGGUUGGCUACUUUAAUUAAAAAAAUUCACAUGGCUGGCCACGCCACACCCCUCAUUUUUCACCAUAAGCUUGUGGAUCCCACCCUCACCACGUGUCGAGCAAUGCCCCCAACCCAAGCCCCUCCACUCCCCGCAGUCUUAGGAAAAACAUAAACAAUACAUUCGUUGUUACAUUCAAACGUUUAAUUCGGUUGAACCUCGGCUACAAAGCAUCAAUUAGAACAACCACUUGAAACACAAUCAUCAUUGAUAAAAGCACCUCAUCUUAGUGUCUUUAGAUAAAUCACUACAAGUUCAAGAUGAUAAUCUACAAAAAUAAAAGGGUGGACUAGUAAAAAGAACAAAGGUUGAGGAUUGCAUACAUGCUGCUGGAUAAAAUUUAUAAAAUGACAUCUAUGAUUUAAAAGAUGUAAACCAUGUUAGGCGUGAUUAUUUUUUAUAAAGUUGGUAACAAUUUCUUCAGCAAACCUCAAUUGACUUUAAGCAAUUGUUUCCAUGUGCAUUUUAAGGCUAUUAUGGAUCCAGCUCCUGACCCGCUGAUCCGUGACUCGUGAACAACUCGAUUAGCCCAACACAAGCCCCUUCAACAACUGAUUUACAACAUAUUCAGGUGUGAGUUCUAUUUUUUUAGCAUUUUAGUUUUUGUUAUUCAAUUUCUCAAGCAUACGUAUUCCAGUGUUGAUUUACAACAUAUCCAGGUGUGUGUUUUCUUUAGUUUUGCAUAUUUAUAUUCUACAUGUUUCCAAUAGUUUUUAUGUUUUCCAAGUUAUCAGUAUGUACAAUGGAGAUAGUCUGCAUAUUACAUUAAUUUAGACCCUUUGCAUUGUUGCUAUUCAAAGUGACAAUCGAGAAGAGUUUCCUACUAUACGUGAUCAGGGUUUGGAGAAGGUACACAUAUUGUUCUCUACUUCAAUGAAAAUUUAAAAUAAAUGUAUGAUUUUUAUGUACACAUUUUACUGUGUAUAUGAAUAUAAUAAGUUCUCUUUGUCCACUAUUAGGCUCGAGAGGACAUUAUGGUUAGUCUAUUUUCAAUUUGCUAUUUUUAUUGCAAACUUUCUUAUCAUACAAGAUAAUGGAUUUACAUCAUAUGAAACUUUUGUUACGUGCUAUAUUUCAGACCAUGGUUGAAUUGAUGGGGGCACAAGUUUCGAAACCGUUGAUUGCAACCAAGAUUACUCAUCUUAUAUGCUACAAAUUUGAAGGUGUGUUGUAUUAACUUUAAUUCACUUAUGCAUUUUCUCUAGGUGGCUUUUUUACCGAACAAGAUAUUAAGAGCCUACCAUAUUUACAGGUGAUGGCAACUCCGACAACGAAGAGCUUAAAGUGAUGUCAAAAGAAGUUGAGUAUAGUCAGUUGGCUGAUGUAGCGACAAUAAGUAGUAAGUGCUGGGAACUAUGAAGUGGAAGUAUGCCUACUAAGAAAAUGUUAACAGAUGAUUAUUUAACUCGCAUGAAGAUUGUGAAAGAGAUUCAUGAACACAAUGAAGUUUUGAGUUUUUAUUCA